rnacentral:rRNA from 1 species
UACGAACCGGACAAACGUUAUUCGGAAUUAUUGGGCUUAAAGGGUGCGUAGGCGGCGCGGUAAGUGAGGUGUGAAAGCCCAUGGCUCAACCGUGGAACUGCGCUUCAUACUGCCGUGCUUGAGGGAGACAGAGGUAAGCGGAACUGAUGGUGGAGCGGUGAAAUGCGUUGAUAUCAUCAGGAACACCGGUGGCGAAAGCGGCUUACUGGGUCUCUUCUGACGCUGAGGCACGAAAGCUAGGGUAGCGAACGGG